rnacentral:rRNA from 1 species
CGCAUCUGUGCAUGCAGCAUAUCAAUAAGCGGAGGAAAAGAAACUAACAAGGAUUCCCUCAGUAACGGCGAGUGAAGCGGGAAGAGCUCAAAUUUGAAAUCUUGAAAGGUCACCUUUCACGAAUUGUAGUUUAAAGAAGUGUUUUCUGUUACGAUCGUAAUAUAAGUUCUUUGGAAUAGGACAUCACAGAGGGUGAGAAGUCCCGUCUAUGAUUGCGAUUUGUAGCUUUGUGAUACACUUUCAAAGAGUCGGGUUGUUUGGGAAUGCAGCCCAAAACGGGAGGUAAAUUUCUUCUAAGGCUAAAUAUUGGCGAGAGACCGAUAGCGAACAAGUACCGUGAGGGAAAGAUGAAAAGAACUUUGAAAAGAGAGUUAAAUAGUACGUGAAAUUGUCAAAAGGGAAGCGUUUAACACCAGUGUUGUUUUCUGAAAAUCAACCUCUGUUAGCUUUAUGCAUGUUUGUUUAGACCUAAUCAGCUAUCUUGCAUGUUCUAUUGUUUGCAGUGGUGCACUUUUCAGUUUACAGGUCAACAUCAGUUUUUUUUAUCGUAAAAAAGUUAAAGAAAGGUAGCUCAUGGCUCCGGUCGUGAGUGUUAUAGUCUUUUUCCUAUGCGGUAGGAGAGACUGAGGUCUGCAGUGUAGGCUAUUUGGCUAGAUACUCAGGUGCUAUGUGAUACCAUUUCAUAAACAACUUGUUGAUUAUGUUUUGUCUAUUGCAUACUCGCUUGUACUAUCAUACCUACGCUUAGGAUGUUGAAGUCAUCGUAUCGCGC